UCAUGUCCUUUAUGCUUGAAUAUUCUCGUGUUUGAUUUGAGAAUUUCUCAAUAUUACCUUUUUCAAAAAUUAAAGCGAGCGCGGCGAUACUAGCAGCUGUAACAUCUUCUAUCACCUUUCUCAAGUUGUUUUAGAAGAUAAGGGAUCAUUUCUUUCCACUUUUUGUGACCAAUUCUCCAUGUAUUUAUCCGAAAGGAGCAGAGCCCAAGCUGAUAUUGCUGCAGCAGUCACGUACGUUGAAUGUUUGGAUUCUUGAUUCAUAAAUUGCCAUAUAAUUUCCAUUGAUCUUUCUGUGUCUACAAAAUCCCUAGCAGCAACAAGAGUGACAAUAGACAAACACCCUUAACACUUUGACCGAGUGAGAUAAUUUGGAAUUGAGGAGUUUAGGAAGAAAAACCAGUGAUUCUUCAUAAAUCUCAUGAGCAUUAUCUCCUGCGCCUAGAGUCAGUACAACUAAUCCUAUAAGUUGUAAUGCUAGAACCUCGUUUCAAGCAAUUUUGGCAUCGAUGUACUAAAGUGACAAAAUUAUUCUGGGCAAAUUCAGCACGAACAUUGGUCUCGAAUUCCUCAACCAAUGUCUUUAGCGCGCUUUCUCUCCUAGAACUUUUCUUUUUGUACAAUUCUUCUAAAUAAGGAUAAGAGUUUCUUCUUUGGAAUUUGUAUAGAACCCUGUUUCUCCUUCAUAGCAGCAGAGUCGUCGUCGCUGCUGAUUGGCGAAACUUGCCGGUUUUGAGGCCGGCUGAAUCUUUGAUUUUUCAUUCUCCAGUUUUUGGGGAGUAUCGUAUUGAUUUGUGUUUGCAAAAGAG
rnacentral:lncRNA from 1 species